rnacentral:antisense_RNA from 1 species
ACGUGUCACCGUGAUGCCACGUCCAGUCUGAGCCCUUCCUCGCCCAUGUCCCUGUCCUUGUUGCAUAGCCGGCCUCCAGCAUGUGGCUUCGUGCAGCGACCAGACCGUCGUGUGACUUUCUGCCAUGGUUGCUGGGGUUGGCGCUGGGGCAGACCUGCUGGGUGGUUCUGGGUUGCGGCUGGAGCGCUGGGACUGGCAGGACGCCUCUCUUCGUGCUGCCCCAGGGCCCCUCCAGGUCGACUCCCGGUGUGAAGCAUGUGGGCUGCCUCACAGCCUGGCAGCUCCAGAACUGCUGGAGGCUCCCCUGCAGCCCCAGCUCUGCUGGCAGCAGUGGGCCAGAAGCAACUCACCUUCACACAGCCACCCUGAAGGCGCGUAGGUUCUGGAAGGGAACCUUGGGAAAUGGGAUUCGUGCCAUAUUCAAGGGAGUCCCAAGCUCCCUCGCCCAUUUCACUCCAUGAGGAUAGGAGGGGACAGCUGCUGACAACCUGGCAGAGACCCUGCGCCAGGCCCCACCCCACCGGCACCCUGAUCUUGCACUUUCGGCCUCGAGAACGCCCCCGCCCAGGAGGGUCUGAGCCAGGCAGCCUCCCCGGGAGCUGGUGCUGACACGGCCAGAGAAACCAUUCCAGACCCGGAGCCCACUGUCCCCAACACCUGCGGGCCAGUGACUCACGGCGGUGGAGAAAGCCAAGAGGAAGCGGAGGCUGAGUUGCCCUCCCCGGGGCUGGGGCCCGCCGUUUGGAUAUGUCUCCAGCCGCUGGUUUAGGGGAAUCGGGAGGGCUCACUUUAGCGUCCCUUCUCUGCGUGCUCUUCCAUCCCGGGACAGAAGACCCGACUGCUGCCAACACCAAAGGGUGUUCCCAUGGCACACGCCGCUCGGGCUCGGGCAGGCAGGGACCCCUCCUGGUGCCUGGGGAGCCUGGAGCUGUCGGCCCCGCAGCUGAGGACCACAGGAGGUCAGGGACAUGCAAGCUCGCUGCCCGAAGUCACUUCUAGAGUGCGAUUCGGUGUCCCUGAAGGUCCCAACUCUGCCCUGACACAUUACAGAAAGUGUCACUGCCUCCUGGUGUGGAUGUUGGCCCGCCCCCAGGGAGGCCUCUGCCCCAUCACCCAGCCCAGCCCAUCCCAUCCCAACAGGACUCCGCCUCCAGUGGCUACCAUCAGACCCCACGGCAUGGUGACUGUCACCGCAGAGGGCUAGAGAGGGCCGCGUGUGGGACGGCAGGGGCUGACGGGGGGCUCUGCGUUCCCCAGUAACCCAGGUUUCUGCUGGGGCUGCUCCCUGGCUGCUCUGCUCCCCAGCCCCCUACAAUGUGGAUUUAGUCUUAUUUCCCACAGGGAAGGCCUAACAAGGCUUGACCAAUCAGUGAACGGCAUUCCCCAGACUGCUGGCUGUGACUGGGUCCCAGACAAGCACGUGACCCACUAUGGGCCAAUGAAAGUCGCCUGAGACUUUCGCUUGCAUGGUUGCUGGACAGUCCAAAGUCCUCAGUGGGGACGGCUGGCUGCAGCUGCUACGCUUGGAGCCUGAGGACAGAGCUGGGCCGGUCCCUCCCUGGGAUCUCCCCUCCCUGAGCCCAGGCUCUGCUCUGCCCAGCCCUAUGCUGUCCCCUGUGCAACCGCUGUGGGCUUCCUGCCAGGCUCCUGCGCCCUCCAGCUUCUGUUGGGUUCAGUUCUGGGAGGCAGCCCCACAGCCUGGAGGGUGGAAGGAGUGAGGGGCAUCCCCUGUCCCCUCCCCACAGUCUUGGCAGUGGUUUCUUCUCUCCAGAGUUACUGUCCCUACCCCCUGUCCUCUCUCUGCAGCUCCAGCUCUUGCUGGGCACCUGUGAUUCUCACCCCAUCCCUUCAGGCCAUGGAGAGAAGAACAUCCCAGUGCGGUCACUUCCUGGAUCCAAUUCCUGGAUGCCCAGUGUCCGCCGGGUCUCCUGGAUUCACCGUGGUCACUGCCUGGAUGCCCAGUGUCUGCCGGGUCUCCUGGAUUCACUGUGGUCCCUGCCUGAAUGCCCAGUGUCCUCCAGGUCUCCUGGAUUCACUUCCUGGAUGCCCAGUGUCUGCUGGGUCUCCUGGAUCCACUUCCUGGAUGCCCAGUGUCCGCCAGAUCUCCUGAAUUCACUUCCUGGAUGCCCAGUGUCCACCAGGUCUCCUGGAUUCUGCCUGUGUCCACGUGAGGGCACCAUCAAUUUCCUGCGAGGAUCCUAAGACAGUCAAGGUACAUCUAACCUGACAGCAGGCAGGGGCUGGACUAUCCCCUAGAUCAAGCCAUGCCUGAAGCCCCACCUUUCAGUUGCCUGAGUCAACAGAUUCCCUUUUUGGGUUGAGCCAUUUCUCAUUGGAUUUUAUGUCUUACUGACUGAACUAUCAGGAUGGCCAGCAGUAAGGGGUUUCUUUUUGGAGGAUGAGGGACACAAAUGUCUCUUCUCCAAGGUGAGGAGAUGCCUGAAGGACAGGAGGCACUCACAGGAGGUCCUGGAGACAGAUAUGCCCCACAGGCAUUCCUGAGGACCUGCAGCCUGGCAGCACGGAGACUCUGGGUAAAAACAGAAGCUUGUAAUCUGCAAGUUCUGCGGCUGCCCUGUCUGUGUCUGUGAAGCAAAGUGUCCAGAAGUGGCCCGUGUGGAAGCUUCUGAGAGCGGUUAGGGGAAGGGGGCCCCACGUCCUCCCCGGAGGACUGGAGACGGAGGCAGGCCGUGCCCCCAGCCCAGAGUCGGGAGGAGGCUGGCAGGCGGCAGCUGUGGAAAGGAGGCAGAGCUCCCCGACUCCUGAGCCAGCAGAGGAAGGAGUGGGACAGAGCCCGCCCCAGAGGGAGACAAGAUCCCGGGGAAGAGACCCCUCAGGGUGGCCCCCCAGCCCCUCCGGGGCUCAGCUUUCAGCCUGCACCCCCGUCUGGUCCCUCAGAAUGACUGAGGUUUCCACUCUUUUUCUGCCAAAUCUCUAGACUCCACAUCCCCGCUCUGCCACCUACUCUUUGUGGCAUCCGAAUAACAAGACUUAACCUUU